GGACCCGCACAAGUAGUGGAGCAUGUGGUUUAAUUCGAAGAUACGCGCAGAACCUUACCAACACUUGACAUGUUCGUCGCGACUUUAAGAGAUUAAAGUUUUCGGUUCGGCCGGACGAAACACAGGUGCUGCAUGGCUGUCGUCAGCUCGUGUCGUGAGAUGUUGGUUAAGUCCCGCAACGAGCGCAACCCUCACUUUUAGUUGCCAUCAUUUAGUUGGGCACUCUGAAAGAACUGCCAGUGAUAAGCUGGAGGAAGGUGGGGAUGACGUCAAGUCCUCAUGGCCCUUACGUGUUGGGCUACACACGUGCUACAAUGGUAGUGACAAUGGGUUAAUCCCAAAAAUGCUAUCUC
rnacentral:rRNA from 1 species